UGUGGCCAUCGAGGGCAGCCAUCUUCUUGACUUUCUGUCGCUUAACAUUUCAGCAGAGACGCUGAAAGAAAGACUAAAAACAUGGGAUGCAAUAUGGGCCGAUGCCUAGGUCCAGACGAUACGGGGUACCCUGGAUCAGAAUUCAUGGCAGCCAUUAGGAAGAAACUGGUUAUUGUGGGUGAUGGUGCUUGUGGUAAAACAUGCUUACUCAUAGUCUUCAGCAAAGACCAGUUUCCUGAAGUUUAUGUACCUACAGUGUUUGAGAACUAUGUUGCAGACAUUGAAGUUGAUGGGAAGCAGGUUGAACUGGCUCUCUGGGAUACAGCUGGACAAGAAGAUUACGAUAGGUUGCGUCCAUUGUCAUAUCCCGACACAGAUGUAAUUCUAAUGUGUUUCUCUAUCGAUAGUCCCGAUUCCUUGGAGAACAUUCCCGAGAAGUGGACACCAGAGGUGAAACACUUCUGCCCAAAUGUGCCCAUUAUCCUUGUUGGAAACAAAAGAGACUUGCGCAAUGAUCCUAAUACCAUUAAGGAGCUUAGCAAGAUGAAACAAGAGCCAGUUAAGCCAGAAGAAGGUAGAGCUAUGGCCGAAAAAAUCAGUGCUUUUGCUUAUCUUGAAUGUUCUGCUAAAAGUAAGGAUGGUAUUAGGGAAGUAUUUGAAACAGCCACUCGGGCAGCGCUACAAUUCGUAGGUAAAAAAGAAGAAGAAGGGAAGAUGUUGGCUCCUAUAAUUCUUGAACUAUCACCAAUAACGAGACAACACUAAUGGAAUUGCUAGUUGCAAUGAAGCUAGUUGUUAUGCCGGAGACCCCCAGCGGAAACCAUAAUAUAAUAACAACUUAUCUUUAAUUAUUUUACACAAUAAAACAAAUCUAUAAAAAAAAGAAAAACAACUACAAAAUACGCCCACAGUAUAAAAAAAACUCAUUGAUGAAACCGGAGACUUAAACUAUUGACUAAAUUUAAUACAAGUAUAUGUGCUAUAUAUGAGAAACUAUAAUGUAUAUUGUAAUGACUCCUUGAUUGUAUUUUUUAAUGGUAAUGAAUUGUGCUUCGAGUUUAAACAAUUAAACAAUUGUCAUACCAACUAUUUACAAUUACGUUGCUGUUUAUUUUUGAUAAUAAAAAGAAAGUGGAAAGAAGGGAAGAAAAGAGUUGGGGGAAUUCGUAACAAAGUAUAAAAAGAGAAAAGGGGGAGAGUAUAAGUGUAGUAUGCAAUGCAAAGUCAUAGAAAGCAAUGUAAGAAUUUAAAACAAAAUGUUAAGAAUUCCAAAUGUUGCGUCGCUAUUUUAUUGAACCAUCGCAUUAUUUCUAUAUUUCUUAAACAAAAAAAAGUAACGAACUUUAUAUUAUGAAAUUGCGUAAGUAGACCAGCGGAUCACUUUGAUCUUUAAGAUACCAA
rnacentral:misc_RNA from 1 species